GGGCGAGUGGCGAAAUGGUAGACGCACUACACUCAAAAUGUAGCGGGGUUUCCCCAUGUCAGUUCGAGUCUGACCUCGCCCA
rfam:Thermosynechococcus elongatus BP-1 DNA, complete genome.